UACGUAGGGUGCAAGCGUUAAUCGGAAUUACUGGGCGUAAAGCGUGCGCAGGCGGUUAUGUAAGACAGUUGUGAAAUCCCGGGCUCAACCUGGGAACUGCAUCUGUGACUGCAUAGCUAGAGUACGGUAGAGGGGGAUGGAAUUCCGCGUGUAGCAGUGAAAUGCGUAGAUAUGCGGAGGAACACCGAUGGCGAAGGCAAUCCCUGGACCUGUACUGACGCUCAUGCACGAAAGCGUGGGGAGCAAACAGG
rnacentral:rRNA from 1 species